AUUUCGGAGCAAACAAGAAAUUGAUUAAAAUGUUCUAUUUUAUUUUAACAAUCAUCAGCUUCAUAUCCAGGUUUGGUACGGGUGCUUGAAAUCCUUGAAAAAUCUUGGAUUUUAAUAUUGUAGUGCGUGGAUUUCGGAUUUUGUGCUUAAAACUUCUUGAAACUGUAACCGUAUUUCAUUCACCACAAAUAACUAUCUGAUUGAAUAGUUUUCUUAUCAGAUAGAGCAAUAAAAUGAGUCGCAAAGUCAAAGCAACAUUUCUCUGCCUGGGCUGCCUCGUACCUCUGCACGUCAGUCUGUUUCAAUGUGUGACCCCCCACCCCCUCCCCGAGCAGUCGGGGGUGAGUGCACUAACGUGCCCGGAGGUUGCCGUUUUAAUGAGUGUUUUGCUGGAAAACGAAAAAUACAAGGAGUCUUCAAGAAGGAGUUGUACGUUUUCACAACGGGGGAGUUUGCUAAACUUUGACCACUUCCAGAUACUGCAGGCCAUCGGGAAAGGGAGCUUUGGAAAGGUGGGAAUUCUCGGCAUCUCUUCAGAUGCCCACGCUCCAGCCUCGGCGUCGCCGUUCUGCACGCCAGAGGCUGAGCUGUUUUCUCCGCCCGCUUCCCCUUCCCGAAGGAAGCGGCGCACACGCCGCCAUAAACUGGACAUUGCUGACCAACCUAUGGUGGAAACAAUGAGGAUCAUGUUUGCUGGUUUGCUGCUUGUGCUGCUCUUUGACACUGGACUCUCAAAACUAGCCAAUCUUCAACCCAAACAGCAGCAGAAUGAAACCCCUUAUGAAAAGUUCAGACGGCAACAUGUAGAUGCUAAGAUGAGUGCGGAAAAAUGUGAUACAGAAAUAAAAAACAGGCAGAUCUAUGAUGUUAACAGCCGUUGUAAGUUUACUAACACAUUCAUCCUUAGUGAUGAUAAAGAGGUCAAAGCCAUUUGUAAUGGUCAAGGAAGAUAUGAUCGUAAGAGUCGCAUGACAAAGAGUGUAUCUAAGUUUAGUGUUGUUAUAUGUAAACUAAAGAAGAAAAGAACCAGGGAACCCAAAUGUCAGUAUGAAGGCAAACGUCUCACUAACAGGAUUAUUCUAGUCAAAUGUAAAGGAAAGUUACCCGUGCACUAGGGUCGUGACAUAAUGACCUUUGCAUCCAAUAACACAACUAUAGGAAAAAUCCCCAUGCGCUCUAAUUCUGUACCCACAAAUAUGCAUUUCUGAGAUAACAAAAGAGCAACAUUUAUCAUCAGCUCUGACAAAAGGUCACUGGAAACUUGUUAUUUAUUUACUUGAGCCUGUCUUGUCAGUAACAUGUAAUCAGCCUCCAUUUCUUCACACAUUGCAUUAAAAAAUAUAAAACUAUUUUCAAACUAUAUUCAACCCACCAAUAGUGAUAUAAUAAUUGUACCGACUGUAGGAUGCUGACAAGCUGACAUUUUUUUAUUUGGUGCCCUGCCUCUUGGAUGUUUUUGGUUUUUCAUGUUAUCAGAUGUGUUUUACUUUAGUUUUCAUUUUAUGCUGAUGAUUAAUUUCUAAGAUGAGCUUUAAAGUAUUACAUUCAAAUAAAAUGACCAAAAAAGAAAA